AUUUGGAGGUGAUAAUGACCAUCGUCUUGAACGUGAAGUAGCAACUGUUGUUCGCCACCAUAGACCAAAGUAAGCCAAUGGAGGGAGCAGAAUCUGGAAGUCAUCAAACAAAUACUCCAUCGCCCGAAGAGGUUGAACAUCAUGUGCAGAGAAACCAAGGUUCUCGGAUCUGGCGAGAUCUGAACUACAACUACUGGAUCUGAUGCCUCGCUCACACCAUAGCAAAGCAGAACUUGUCAUUCCCUUAGGGAAAUGGUUCAUCGGACAAGGAGCCGAAGAUGAUGGUAAAAGCCGGUAAGAUUUUAGGUAUGUAUAUUGGAAGGACCUUGAAUAUGAAAACCAAGCAGUAGCAACCGGCGGUUUCACAGAAGCAGAGAGGUCACUGGAUGAAGUAAGCAAGCACCUCCACAGAGGAACAAAAGCAAACCUCGUCCA
rnacentral:lncRNA from 1 species